UGGUCUUUGGCUCCAGGUGUGAAGCGAUUCCACAGGUAAGGGACGAGGUGAGAAAGUCGUCACAGAAAUCCCAGAUUUAGGAAUUUUCCAGGAGUUUAG